rnacentral:lncRNA from 1 species
UUUUACUACAAGUUUUACAGUAUAUUAAAUAUUUAAAAAUUAAAGAAGAUAAAAAUUUUUUGAUACAUCUGGAAUAAACAUGUGUAUAUAUUAUACACAUCGAUAUAUAUUAUUAUGAACUGGGAGUUUGCCAAUGUGUUAUUAAUUGUUAAAACUUGAAAAAUAAAAGUGGUAUGGUUUGAAUGGCAGAUGUGCGGAAAGCAAACGAUGCGAGGCUUUUUCUUCGGAAAGGACCAUUUCUCCGUCACUGUUGAUAAGAACGUUGAUUAUGCCUUCAUUGCAUCUCUCAUUGUCAUCCUUGUAGAAAUAGAAAAAGCUGGUUUUAUUACGAAAAUGACAACACAAAUGAUAAUAGGUUUUUAGGUAUCAAUUUUUAAAGCACUAUCAUAUCGUUGUAGUAAUUUAGGUUGUCAAUACAAUUUGGUGUAAUGCACUAGCAUCGUUUGCUUUUCGUACAUCUGCAUUCAAACCAUACCAAUUUUAUUUCAAGUUUUAACAAUUAAUAAAACAUUGGCAAACUCUCUGUUCAUAAUAAUAUAUAUCGAUGGGUAUAAUAUAGUAUAGAUAUGUUUAUUUUUGCUAAAUACAAACACAUGCCCUUAGCAUAUCUUCUAAGGACCACCUGUCAUCAAGCUCGCUUAACGUCUUCAAGUCAUACACCUCCACUACCACUUCUUGUUGCUAUGUUUUACCUAAGCUCAACUUCCAUUCCGCAACAAUUCGAACAAAUAAAUCCAAGCACUAAAGCACCAUCACCAUUACCCGAACCUUUGUCAAAGCUCUACUUCAUGUAGCUCUCCUCAUGCCAGCGAGAAUCAUGUCUUUGACCCCUUCAUCAACGCCAUUUCUUCUCUUGACAGUGGCAAUU